CCCCAAUCACUCACAAUGACCUCCACCUCUAGCAACAUCCACUAUCAGGUACCCACCAUUCACAACCUUAAUUCAAAGCCCCUCUCAUUCUCUCUCUAAAUCCCUCUUCCUCCCUUAUCCUCUCUGAAAAACUCUAACUCCCAUUACGAGUAGAGCCAACACCAUGGCUACAGAUUUCAGUUAUACUGGUUAACAUCUCUGCCUUCACUACUACCGGUUACCGCCACCGGUACCAGCUCUACUAUUAAAACCAUCGUCGCCCUCAACAACCCUAGAUCUAAACCACUGUACACGGAUAACCGGUCACAUCCAUUAUGCCGCCUCCUACUUCUCUUACCGGCGACUACAUUUAUGCCAUAAUCGAACCCAACACUGCAGCCAUCACCGUCCUUUCCAGCCAACAUCUCAGGUAACCGACGUUCACCUUGAAAUUGCUGCUACCAUUGUCGUAGCCCUGCACUACCACUAGCCGGUAUUUCAUAUUUAGAGUAAGUUAAAACAUUGAGAAUAUUGUUCUCCGUUAGCUUUGGGAUUUUUCUAAUGUUAUUCAAGUUCACCGAGACUUAAAGCAAAGGGGAACAUCAAGAUUACAUCAAGUUCAUACGCAAGUCACAGGGAACGUAGAUACUACAUGGUCAUGGUCUGUUUGGUUAACAAACAGAGAGAUAAGGGACAACAUCCAAUCCCUAGCAUUACCAUCGCUCCCGUAUCUCCUUCAUCUCGUGCUCGCUUUCAGCAAAUCACAUGUAAUAUUUUUUCCUCUGAGCUCUCCCUUUCUAAGCCCUUUCCUAUUUCAAUCCUUUGAUUUUUCUAUCCCUAAAUGUUUUUUAUAAUCUGGGAUGAAGAUGAGCAGGAUAUUUGGAUGAAGACUUAGUAGUUUUUGGUAAUCUAUUUAUGAUGAAGAUAAAAAGUCGAUACAUAUGUUGUAUAGUGUAUACCCUCAACAUAUCUUGGAAAUUACCCUCUUCAUUGUUGAUAUAUUUCUUCAUUUGUUAACUAUUUAUGUGAUUUUAAUCUAUUUUGGCAUAAAAUAA